rnacentral:rRNA from 1 species
GACGAACGCUGGCGGCGUGCUUAACACAUGCAAGUCGAACGGAAAGGCCCUGCUUUUGUGGGGUGCUCGAGUGGCGAACGGGUGAGUAACACGUGAGUAACCUGCCCUUGACUUUGGGAUAACUUCAGGAAACUGGGGCUAAUACCGGAUAGGAGCUCCUGCUGCAUGGUGGGGGUUGGAAAGUUUCGGCGGUUGGGGAUGGACUCGCGGCUUAUCAGCUUGUUGGUGGGGUAGUGGCUUACCAAGGCUUUGACGGGUAGCCGGCCUGAGAGGGUGACCGGCCACAUUGGGACUGAGAUACGGCCCAGACUCCUACGGGAGGCAGCAGUGGGGAGUAUUGCGGAAUAGGCGGAAGCCUGAUGCAGCAGCGCCGCGUGCGGGAUGACGGCCUUCGGGUUGUAAACCGCUUUCGCCUGUGACGAAGCGUGAGUGACGGUAAUGGGUAAAGAAGCACCGGCUAACUACGUG